rnacentral:rRNA from 1 species
UAGUCCACGCCCUAAACGAUGUCAACUAGACGUUGGGCUCAUUAAGGAGCUUAGUGUCGAAGCUAACGCGUUAAGUUGACCGCCUGGGGAGUACGGCCGCAAGGUUGAAACUCAAAGGAAUUGACGGGGGCCCGCACAAGCGGUGGAGCAUGUGGUUUAAUUCGAUGCAACGCGAAGAACCUUACCAGCCCUUGACAUCCUGGGAAUUUUGUAGAGAUACAUUAGUGCCUUCGGGAAUCCAGUGACAGGUGCUGCACGGCUGUCGUCAGCUCGUGUCGUGAGAUGUUGGGUUAAGUCCCGCAACGAGCGCAACCCUCGCCAUUAGUUGCCAGCAUUUAGUUGGGCACUCUAAUGGGACUGCCGGUGAUAAGCCGGAGGAAGGUGGGGAUGACGUCAAGUCCUCAUGGCCCUUACGGGCUGGGCUACACACGUGCUACAAUGGUGGUGACAGUGGGCAGCGAGACCGCGAGGUCAAGCUAAUCUCCAAAAACCAAUCGUAGUCCGGAUUGGGGU